UACAGAGGCCUCGAGCGUUGCGCGGAAUCACUGGGCUUAAAGGGUGCGUAGGCGGAUACACAAGUGCCUUGUGAAAUCCCCGGGCUCAACCCGGGAACUGCUUGGUAGACUGUGUGUCUUGAGGUCGGUAGGGGUCGCCGGAACAGUUGGUGGAGCGGUGAAAUGCGUAGAUAUCAACUGGAACGCCAAAGGUGAAGACAAGCGACUGGGCCGAUUCUGACGCUGAGGCACGAAAGCGUGGGGAGCAAACGGG
rnacentral:rRNA from 1 species